UCCCUGGUGGCUCAGACAGUAAAGCAUCUGCCUACAAUGCAGGUAGACCCGGGUUCGACCCCUGGGUUGGGAA
rnacentral:tRNA from 1 species